rnacentral:pre_miRNA from 1 species
AGUGAGAUGGCUGGGUCGAUGGUGGUUUCAUUCCAAGUUUUCUGAGGAAUCUCCAUACUGCUUUCAAUAAUGAUUGCACCAAUUUGCAUUCCCACCAGCAAU